rnacentral:rRNA from 1 species
GAUGAACGCUGGCGGUAUGCUUUACACAUGCAAGUCGUACGAGAGUUUUUAACUUAAGUGGCGGACGGGUGAGUAACACGUAAGAAUUUGCCUUUAGGAGGGGGAUAACAACUGGAAACGGCUGCUAAUACCCCAUAUGCUGUUAAGUAAAAUGGAUUUAUCCGCCUAGAGAGAAGCUUGCGGCUGAUUAGCUUGUUGGUAAGGUAAUGGCUUACCAAGGCGACGAUCAGUAUCUGGUUUGAGAGGACGAUCAGACACACUGGAACUGAGACACGGUCCAGACUCCUACGGGAGGCAGCAGUGGGGAAUUUUCCGCAAUGGGCGAAAGCCUGACGGAGCAAUACCGCGUGAGGGAUGAAUGCCUAUGGGUUGUAAACCUCUUUUUUCAGGGAGGAACAAAAUGACGUGUACCUGAAGAAUAAGCAUCGGCUAACUCCGUGCCAGCCGCCGCGGUAAGAC